GCUCGGUUGGCUGAAUGGAUUAGGCAGGCAGCUUCUAACUGUCGAGGUAGGGCUCUUCUCAAUGUCCUACGAUGCGGGUUCGAAUCCUGCACCGAGUA
rnacentral:tRNA from 1 species